rfam:Myotis brandtii contig318942, whole genome shotgun sequence.
GAGACACCCUUAUGGGGCAGGACUUGCUUCAGUGGGGCUUUGGUGCUCACUGACUCUGCCCCUUGAGUGUGUUGCU